GAUGAACGCUGGCGGCGUGCCUAAUACAUGCAAGUCGAGCGAACAGACGAGAAGCUUGCUUCUCUGAUGUUAGCGGCGGACGGGUGAGUAACACGUGGAUAACCUACCUAUAAGUCUGGGAUAACUUCGGGAAACCGGAUCUAAUACCGGAGGAUAUUUUGAACCGCAUGGUUCAAAAGUGAAAGACGGUCUUGCUGUCACUUAUAGAUGGAUCCGCGCUGCAUUAGCUAGUUGGUAAGGUAACGGCUUACCAAGGCAACGAUGCAUAGCCGAACUGAGAGGGUGAUCGGCCACACUGGGACUGAGACAGGGUCCAGACUCCUACGGGAGGGAGCCGUAGGGAAUCUUCCGCAAUGGGCGAAAGCCUGACGGAGCAACGCCGAGUGAGUGAUGAAGGUCUUCGGAUCGUAAAACUCUGUUAUUAGGGAAGAACAUAUGUGUAAGUAACUGUGCACAUCUUGAAGGUACCUAAUCAGAAAGCCACGGCUAACUACGUG
rnacentral:rRNA from 1 species